rnacentral:rRNA from 1 species
GGAUUGACACAUCGGUCGUGCCUUAAGGGGUAUGAACUGGCGUAGCCAAUUCCUCACCUUCUGGUGAAUUGUGAUGCCUCUUUAACUGGGUGUUUCAAUGAACUAGGACUUUUACUUUGAAAAAAUUAGAGUGUUUAAAGCAGGCAUUAUUUGCUUGAAUACAUUAGCAUGGAAUAAUAAAAUAGAACGAUGAUUCUAUUUUGUUGGUUUCUAGGAUCACUGUA